GCCUACGUGAGACAUCCAAGUUUAGACAAUCCAGUGACAGUCGGCUCACCUGUAUGAGUUUUACUCUUGCCACAGCUUUUGCUACAAACUUCACCAGUAACAAAACAACAUUGUGAAUGGGAAACAAAAUGAAUUUUUGAUCCAGACUAAUGAAGUUCAUGAGUUGAGGUUGAAAAUGUUCUGCCACACAUCUUGUUCUUAUUCGCUCACCGGAAAUUCAGACUUCUUAUUAAAUGACACCAAGUGCUGGAGUAACUCAGCAGGUCACACAGCAUAUCUGGAGAACAUGGACAGGUAGUCGACUGUUGGGUCAGGACCAUUCUUCAGACCCCUUAUUACUGGAUUGACCUUGUGCUAUGUAAUAAAUAAUUCUUAUUGCUAGUCACACAUCCCUCCAUAGUCUCAGCCUCCAUAACAUUCUCCUCUUCCAUAACUACUUGCACUUCAUCCAUUCUGUCACUCCGACACUGGUGGCUAUGCCUUCAGCUGCUUGGACCCUGGCCUCUAGAAAUCCCUCCCUUAGCCUCUUCACCUCUCUCUCAUACUUCAAGACACCCAUCUAAAGCAUGCUAAUUUAACCAGACUUUGGUAAACUGAACUAAUACUUUCUCAGUUGAUCCAGAGCUGCAAUUUGUUUGGAAAUACUCCUUUGAUGUGCCUUUUGUAAAACUAGAGAUAAUGUUAACUAUAAAUGCAAGCUGUUUUUGCAUUUACAUAAGUAAUUUAUACUAAUGAACACUAAUGGUGAUGUGCUAAUAUUACUCGUACUUUAACCUUUUGCAAUUGUUCUCCCCUUCAAUUCUCUCUACAUUUGUUUUGUUGCUUCACAGCCAAAGGUGAUUGCAUCUUCACAUGAAUAAAAUGGAACACAUUUACAGGAGAAUAUCAAUAAAGUGAGAGAAAAAUGGGUUUCAUUUUAUUCCAGUAAAGUUCAUGUAAAUUCAUUCCACUUAUCUGGCAGACACGAUUAUCUAGGUAAAUUUAUUCUAAGCAGAACUCAACGGGGGUUGAUUGGUUCAAAUUCAGAUUAAUUUGCAUUAGAGUUUCUUUGCUUUAAUAGAAUGAAAAGUAAAAAAAAUGUAAUGGACAAGAAUAGUGUAAAUUGGGCAUCGCAGUCGAGUUGGGCCAAAGGGCCUAUUUCAUGCUGAAUGGCUUCAUAACAUCACCAGUGCCACAUCAGGAUACACUUUUCAUUCAAGUGGUAUGGCCUUCUGCGCAGUCUCAAAAUCCACUUUCCAUUGCUGAUAUGUCAGCCUCCUGCCUCAUUGAGGAGAGCCAAGGUCAGUGGAGUUGACGAGCCCAUCUUGAAACUUGAGCCCCAAAAUCUGGGCUGUUACUAAGGUACAGGAGUGAGGGAGCUUCUGCACCGUUUGACAUUGUAUCUAUCAAGUGAGCUGCUAGAAUUAGGUUCUGAAUGCUGUCUCAUAGCGGGGGAAAUGGCACCAUGGGUGGUACAUUGGUGCAAGUCUGCAAGCUGCACCCACGCCACUCCAGAGACCCAAGUUCAAUCCUGACCUCAAGUGCUGUCACUGGAGUUUGCAUGUCCACCCUGUGACAAGUCAAAAUGUAAAAACAAUAAACUGUAGAUGCUGGUUUAUGCAAAAAUACACAAAGUGCUGGAGUCACUCAGUGGGUCAGGCAGCAUCUCUGGAAAACAUGGAUGUGACAUUUCAGGUCAGGACCCUUGAUCAGUCUGAAGAAAGAUCCCGACCCGAAACAUCACAAUCCAUGUUUUCCAGAGAUGUUCCCUGACCUGCUGAGUUACUCCAGCACUUUGUGACCAUUUGGGUUUCCCUUGUGUACUCUGGUUUCUUCUUGCAUUGCAAAGACAUGCAGUUUGCCAGGUUAAUUAGUGGUAUAAAUUACCUGUAAUGUGGGAAGAUGAAAAAAAAUGUGUGGAGAAUGUUAUUAUUGUAAAUUGGUGUGUGUUAGACAGUGAGGACUUAAUGAGGCAAGGACCUGUUUGUAUCUCAAUGAGCAUGUCAUAGAAGAGCAGGAGAGACCCCACAAUGCCAGCCAAUAUUUAUCGCUCACUCAGCAUCACUGCAAGACGUGCUGAGACAUGCACAGAACAUCAGCCCAGCCUCUGCCUCCGAACCAGUUCUGCAAUCUGUCAGCACCAUCCCACUCUGCUUCUGAAAGUCACUGAAGCCAACAUAUUGAAUUUCAGAGGCAGACUACAAAGUACUGACACAACCUCACAGUGCCCUUGGUGCUACUGAUCAGUAAUUAAUUUCUCAGCAACAAUCUCCAGCGCCCACUUCCCUGCGGAAAUCAGAUUGACAGUGAGAGAAAAUCUCUCUGGUCUAAUUAAUCUGUCCUAUUCAGUAGCUUGAGAUGCAGAUAUUCCCCUCUCAUCUACAGCCGCAACCUCUCCUGGGAAAGAUGAGAAGAAAAUUAAUUAAUUCCGUGGUCAAUUUGCGAAUUUUAAAAAAAUCUGGAAAUUUGGAUGACUGAAGCCAGGUGAUUAGCUCCCUAGCAUCAGACAUAGUGUCAGAUCGAAGCAACAUCUCAGCCUUUGGGAACUGACUCCCUUCUUGAUUCACAGCCUGAUUAAUUUUGCAUGUCGUUUCUUUCCUGACAAUGAAAACAAACUUCAACAGGGUUAAUAUUGUUGUAGUUAGAAUAAUUCCCAAUUCAGACAAGUUCAGGCACGAGUCCUGUUCCUAGCUCACAUCACAGGGGAUGGGACAUGACUGCUGGUGACAUGAAGUACAUUUCUUAAGUUUGUUUUCUGUUCAGCUCCUGUGGUGAUAUGUUACAGGUGCCUAAUGGUAAAAUAAAUUAGUUCCAACAAGCAUAAUUUCUGGUUCUUG